rnacentral:rRNA from 1 species
ACGGGAGGCAGCAGUGAGGAAUAUUGGUCAAUGGAGGCAACUCUGAACCAGCCAUCUCGCGUGAAGGAAUACGGCCCUACGGGUCUUAAACUUCUUUUAUAGGGGGAUAAAGUGAGGCAUGCAUGCCUUUUUGUAGGUACCCUAUGAAUAAGCAUCGGCUAACUCCGUGCCAGCAGCCGCGGUAAUACGGAGGAUGCGAGCGUUAUCCGGAUUUAUUGGGUUUAAAGGGAGCGUAGGCCGUGCUUUAAGCGUGUUGUGAAAUGUAGGCGCCCAACGUCUGCACUGCAGCGCGAACUGGAGCACUUGAGUACGCAGGAAGUAGGCGGAAUUCGUCGUGUAGCGGUGAAAUGCUUAGAUAUGACGAAGAACUCCGAUUGGGAAGCCAGCUUACUGUAGCGCCACUGACGCUGAUGCUCGAAAGCGUGGGUAUCGAACAGGAUUAGAUACCCUGGUA